rnacentral:rRNA from 1 species
UGAAAAGAACUUUGGAAAGAGAGUUAAACAGUACGUGAAAUUGCUGAAAGGGAAACGCUUGAAGUCAGUCACGUCAGCUUGGAAUCAACCCUGUUUUUGCUGGGUGUACUUUCUUGUUAACGGGUCAGCAUCAAUUUUGACUGUUGGAUAAAGAUAUUGGGAAUGUGGCAUCUUUAGAUGUGUUAUAGCCCAUUAUUGCAUACAGCAGUUAGGAUUGAGGAACUCAGCAUGCUACAAGGCCGGGUUUCGACCACGUUCAUGCUUAGGAUGCUGGCAUAAUGGCUUUAAUCGACCCGUCUUGAAACACGGACCAAGGAGUCUAACAUGCCUGCAAGUGUUUGGGUGGAAAACCCAUGCGCGUAAUGAAAGUGAAGUUGAGAUCCCUUUGAGGAGCAUUGACGCCCGGACCAGACCUUUUGUGACGGAUCCGCGGUAGAGCAUGUAUGUUGGGACCCGAAAGAUGGUGAACUAUGCCUGAAUAGGGUGAAGCCAGAGGAAACUCUGGUGGAGGCUCGUAGCGAUUCUGACGUGCAAAUCGAUCGUCAAAUUUGGGUAUAGGGGCGAAAGACUAAUCGAACCAUCUAGUAGCUGGUUCCUGCCGAA